GGGUCAGGCUGGGGCCCAGAGGCCCAGGGCCUGUAACAGGAUCUUCUGCCACCUGCCCCUGACACCAGCCGAGUUCAUGUUUGGUAGCAACUCAGCGCUGUUUGCUGCCUGACAACUGGGCAAGACACAGCCCCAGGAAGAUGCGAGGUCUCACCUACUCUGCCCUGAGCCCAGCGCUGCACCUAGGACCUGCAGACAAUCCUCCUGGCACCCCGACCCUCCCAGAGAACAGGCCUCCUGGGAGAUGGUGGGAACAAGAACUGACAUCUCAAUUUCAUCCAAAUGUCCCAAGUGAAUCCCCCAUCCCUCAUCCUGGUGAGGAUGUGCCCCACGCUGAGAGAGGAG
rnacentral:lncRNA from 1 species